rnacentral:SRP_RNA from 1 species
UGGUGAACUAGAUCGGGGGGGUGGGCGUCCCCUGUAACCUCAAAUCGCCCUUAUGGAGGGAUCGAAGUCUGAGGGGCGAUUCACUAACCAAUUGUUGGUCUGGGUUUCUAACUAUGAUUUCUCGUCUCAUCGGAUCGCUCAUGGCAGGAACCGGGUCAGGUCCGGAAGGAAGCAGCCCUAACUACUAUGCGUGAUGCUGAUGAGGUAGCGGGAUUGAGAAAGGGCCCAGGCAGCCAACAGUUGGAAGGUGGGUCCACCCUCAGACGCGUUCACCA